rnacentral:lncRNA from 1 species
GCAACAACUGAUUGUGAGAUUCUCUUUGCUAUCACAUAAGAGUCUAGGUGCAACAACUGAUUGUGAGAUUCUCUUUGCUAUCACAUAAGAGUCUAGGUGCCACCAGUUACCUAGUACUACUAAUUGCUCCAAUACGUAUAAAGAUGACAUGGAAGGAUCCUUGACCAAUAGCAUGUAGAUUGGAUUUCUUCAUACACAUGACAUCUUUUCCUGGAUCCCUUUAUUUUUCAGUUUAAUUUAUGGAUGCCAUAGAGACGGAGAGUUAAUCAAUGGAAAUACAUUGUUUUUUAAUAUAUUUUCUUACAGAUGCUAUCAUAGCACUGAAUCCAUUGUUACUCAGGAAGUUAUUUUUCCCUCUGACAAGUACUAUUAACUCUGUAUUUUUCUAUGCUCCUGCGAUGCAAG